rnacentral:lncRNA from 1 species
UCAGUUCCAUGAAAGAUACAGACAUCUAAAAAUUCCCUUCAUCAUUACUGAAAAUGGGGUUUCGGAUGAGACAGAUUUGAUCCGCCGGCCAUAUCUCUUGGAGCAUUUGCUAGCUGUUUAUGCUGCCAUAAAAAUGGUUUUGAUAGUGGAUUAAAUUUUAUUUCCUUAAAAUUAACUUAUUAUUUCAUAAACAUCAAUUUGAUUGUAGACUUCUUAUAAGUGUUCUACAGGGUGUACGUGUACUUGGUUACCUGUUCUGGACUAUUUCUGAUAACUGGGAAUGGGCCGAUGGAUAUGGUCCCAAGUUCGGACUUGUCGCAGUUGACCGGGCAAAUAAUCUUGCACGGA